GAUGAACGCUGGCGGCGUGCCUAAUACAUGCAAGUCGAGCGAACGGACGAGAAGCUUUCUUCUCUGAUGUUAGCGGCGGACGGGUGAGUAACACGUGGAUAACCUACCUAUAAUACUGGGAUAACUUCGGGAAACCGGAGCUAAUACCGGAUAAUAUUUUGAACCGCAUGGUUCAAAAGUGAAAGACGGUCUUGCUGUCACUUAUAGAUGGAUCCGCGCUGCAUUAGCUAGUUGGUAAGGUAACGGCUUACCAAGGCAACGAUGCAUAGCCGACCUGAGAGGGUGAUCGGCCACACUGGAACUGAGACACGGUCCAGACUCCUACGGGAGGCAGCAGUAGGGAAUCUUCCGCAAUGGGCGAAAGCCUGACGGAGCAACGCCGCGUGAGUGAUGAAGGUCUUCGGAUCGUAAAACUCUGUUAUUAGGGAAGAACAUAUGUGUAAGUAACUGUGCACAUCUUGACGGUACCUAAUCAGAAAGCCACGGCUAACUACGUG
rnacentral:rRNA from 1 species